rnacentral:rRNA from 1 species
AUUGAACGCUGGCGGCAUGCCUUACACAUGCAAGUCGAACGGUAACGCGGGGCAACCUGGCGACGAGUGGCGAACGGGUGAGUAACGCAUCGGAACGUGCCCAGUAGUGGGGGAUAGCCCGGCGAAAGCCGGAUUGAUACCGCAUACGACCUACGGGUGAAAGGGGGGGAUCGCAAGACCUCUCGCUAUUGGAGCGGCCGAUGUCAGAUUAGGUAGUUGGUGGGGUAAAGGCCUACCAAGCCGACGAUCUGUAGCUGGUCUGAGAGGACGACCAGCCACACUGGGACUGAGACACGGCCCAGACUCCUACGGGAGGCAGCAGUGGGGAAUUUUGGACAAUGGGCGAAAGCCUGAUCCAGCCAUGCCGCGUGCGGGAAGAAGGCCUUCGGGUUGUAAACCGCUUUUGUCAGGGAAGAAAUCUUCAGGGUUAAUACCUCGGGAGGAUGACGGUACCUGAAGAAUAAGCACCGGCUAACUACGUGCCAGCCGCCGCAGUAACAC